CCUACGGGUGGCAGCAGUAGGGAAUUUUCCACAAUGAGCGCAAGCCUGAUGGAGCGACGCCGCGUGAGUGAAGAAGGUCUUCGGAUCGUAAAGCGCUGUUGUUAGGGAAGAACAUCUGCAUUAGGAAAUGAUUGCAGACUGAUGGUACCUUGCCAGAAAGCCACGGCUAACUACGUGCCAGCAGCCGCGGUAAUACGUAGGUGGCAAGCGUUAUCCGGAAUUAUUGGGCGUAAAGCGUGCGCAGGCGGUUCUGUAAGUCUGGAGUUAAACGCCUGGGCUCAACCCAGGCAGGGCUUUGGAAACUGGCGAACUGGAGAGAAGUAGAGGGCAGUGGAAUUCCAUGUGUAGCGGUGAAAUGCGUAGAUAUAUGGAAGAACACCAGUGGCGAAGGCGGCUGCCUGGGCUGUUGCUGACGCUGAGGCACGAAAGCGUGGGGAGCAAAUAGGAUUAGAUACCCUAGUAGUC
rnacentral:rRNA from 1 species